UGUAAAUGCACUCCGUAGAAACCAGUAGCAGUUUCUCGCUCUCUCCCUCACCUUCAUAACAAAACCACAACCAUCGCCAAUCGCAAGAAAAACUCAAUAAGGGGUGUAAGUGACAAUCUAUUAAAUCCUCUAAAAAUCAAUGAUGUGAAGAUGUUGAGGCGUUGUUCUCUCUCUUGAUAUUCCGUGUUAUGUCUUAUGCGUCUGAAUUGAGUGCUUCGAUCCGUCUGGAGUCAGGUUCUUUUUCACUCCUAUUUUCUUCAUUUUUUUCCAAUUAUAUGUAAUAUUACUCAAUAUUAAAUUAGAAUUGGGUUUAUUUUAUUUUAUUCUUUAAACUGAUUUUUUCCAAUUUGGGUUUUUUUUCUUGAGUACGAAGUGGUUGAUCCCCCCCCCCCUAGCAUAGAUAUUUUUCAAUUUCUUUUUUAAUUAAAUACAUGAUUGUAUUUUUCCUUCUUUAAGUUCAAUUUGAGUUUUUCUUGAUAAUUUAUUUUUUAAAGUAAUAGUAAUAGGCGUAGCAUGCAUCUUUUGCUUGAGUAGUUGAAUUUUAUAGUAUAUAGUUCAUUGAACUACACUUUAUCAAUUUCAAUUUAAUUACGAAAGAGAUUCAAGAGUAUAGUUUAUUGGAAGAGCAAGACAAGCCCUACAAUCCACCCAGCUACCAGAAACGUCAUUUUGAUACUCCAUGGAAGCGAAUCAUAUUCCUUAGGAGGAGCUUCAUGUUUCCUGGAUUCGCAACCUCUCCUAGGCUCCUAGCCCCUCUUCUCUCUUCAGAAACAAAGUACUACGUAUAUAGUAGUAGUAGUUGUGUAGGAAUAUUAAUUUUGUUUUUUCUUUGGCUUUGUUGCUUUAUCUUGAGGAAACUGCGUGAGGCAUAAGAGGAUUUAUAAACCUAUUUUAGAUGCAUGCCUGCAGUUUAACAAUAUUAUUACACUCCAUAAUAUUAAUGUCUUAGUUUUCCACUUUAAAUUAAUUAGAGCAUAUUAGAUAAACUCCAAUGGUUACAAAAUGGACCUGCACACACAAAAAAUGAACAUGUGAGCAGGUAGCCCACCAUUGGUACAACAAUGACAUAAGCAGCUGUUAAAACCUUGUAGCUAUUUUGGGCUACGUAGCUCAAACAAAAUAUAGUUCAAAAAAAUAAAUUAUUUAAAUUAAAUAUUAUAGGGAGCUAAAAGUAUUGUAGCCCACCAAUGUGAUAAUUUAUAGUUUUAAUCAGUUUUAGUUAGAAAUUUGAUGUGGCACAUAGCCACAACAUCUUGUAGCUCACCAUUGGAGUUGCUCUUAUAAUUUUGGUAUUUGAUCGUUUAACAUAUUUGAAAUUUUUGUGUAUGAGAACUCCAUGAAGUUCUUCUAGAACAAUUCAGAAUGACAAAACAUUUAUAAGGGCCAACCGACAAGGACAAGUUUCUUUUAUGGAUUUUCUUUCUUAUGUAAAAUUAUAAACACGAAUAACAUAUAAAUGGAAAAAAUUACCAUAACCAUAGAUGGAGUAAAAGUUGUAUAGAGGGUAUUACUUCAUAUAGCUCCUACUUAUAAAAACUUUCAAUUGAAUUUCCUUUGUAAUAUCUAUAGUGUUAAUUAAUCUGAUUUACGCAGCUUCACAUAUGCAGCCAUCUUUGAAAAGAAAGUUUGGGAGAGGUUGUUGCUACAAACUCACGCAAUCUUAAGGGGUAAUUCUAUGACUCGCUACAAUUAAAUUAUACUUGUAACGUAUUGCAUUAUCUUGAUUUGAAGAAGCUAAUAACUAAAUCUGUCAUUACCACAAGAAUAAAAGAAAUAUGCUUGUUAGUUGUUAGUGUACAAAAGGUUAAUACUUCCAAUUGAAGAAGUCCUUCUGAAGCCAAGACAACGCAUCAUCCUCAAUGCAAAUAACAUAAAUAGCAAACAAAGUAUAUUUGCUUCUCCUUGUAAAUAUUUGUGUAUAUAGUUGUAUUGUUACUAUUUUGUUAGUACUUUGUUGUUUGAAAUGUUAAUAACACGUUUCAUGGUGAUUCUUAAAUUUUAAAAAUAAA